rnacentral:rRNA from 1 species
UACGGAGGAUGCAAGCGUUAUCCGGAAUGAUUGGGCGUAAAGCGUCCGCAGGUGGCUGUGUAAGUCUGCUGUCAAAGAAUUUGGCUUAACCAAAUCAAGGCAGUGGAAACUACAUGGCUAGAGUGCGUUCGGGGCAGAGGGAAUUCCUGGUGUAGCGGUGAAAUGCGUAGAGAUCAGGAAGAACACCGGUGGCGAAAGCGCUCUGCUAGGCCGCAACUGACACUGAGGGACGAAAGCUAGGGGAG